AUAAUACUUUUCCCUCUUAAAGUAGCAUCAAGAAUACAAGUCAACAAUUUACUGUGGAGAUACCAAAGGCUGGGGAAGUGGACUUUACCUUUGUCAGUGGGUAUCUUGUUGGCCAGGCUACUGAAGUCUCUGAUUAAGAAAGCAUGGAACCAAAGACAAGAAAACACAAAAAUAACUGGAAAAUUCCCUAUCAUAUGAUGCAAGACUGAAGCGUAAAAAAUUAUAACACAAGGCAGAGAACAUUCCAUUCUCCCAGAGGAUCUCUAAAGGAAUGGAUGAGGAACAACAAUUAAGUAGUGAAGUCUGCUUCACUAUGCACUCUCUGGAUUAUCCUCGUAUCAUCAUGAGCACUUCCCUGUAGCCUCAAAACUACAGAAAAAGACAGAUCAGCAGAUCUUCCCCAUAAAGACACCUUGUGAAGGCUGUGAAGGUAGUAAGUCCUUAUCAGA